UUUUUCUUUCUUUUACCCUCACCGAUUCGGCUCCAUAACUCGACAUAAGUCGCGAACGACAAUCGAGAAUAAAACCGAUGGGAUUUCGGUCGAAUUUUCAUCAUCCGCGUAACUCACGCCUCGCCAAAUUCAUCUAUCCAUCGAUAAACUUGGCGAGGAGAUGCGCCACUCCGUAAACCCGAUAGUAACGUAGAACCAAUUAAAACGGGUGCGUGAAGAAAAUGACCAACUACCUCCGGACGGUCUGCUACCACGCACCGCGGAAAGAGAGGCGGUUAUAUGUAAUUCCUCUCAACGAGUGAAAGCGUUCGCCCCGCUCAUUUUUAUUCUCUUCUCGAGCGAUCUUUUCUAUUUCUUCUACUCAUUUUCCUCUCUUGUUUUCCGCGCCUUAUUCUCUCGGUGGCCACCCCGGCUACGCGACGGAGGAGGGACACGCACUGUACGCGCACACGCACACACACACACUUCGACGACGAAUUCUACGUAAAACGCGAGUUACCCAGAUGCUCGUAGCCACGGUGUGGGCGUAUACCUUACGAGGUACAGUGGUUGGGUUACAUUACGAUACAUUAUAUCACCUGAUGUUACGCUGCGCCCCACGCACACCCCGUCGCGUCGCGGUGGUAGAGGUGACGCGGUGCGCCGGGUGAACGUCGACGAACGCGUGUUGGUUGGUAACCUAACCAACACACCGAUGUAUCCCAACUCCAUAAGGAUACGUCGGCCACGACACUCUUCGAGUUGGUCCCGCGUACCGCGGCUACGUACACCUCGUCGCACGAAGAGACGUGGGCGUCGCGACGUCGUUCCCGCCGUGUUUUCAACCACGAACCAACACCGGUGCAAUAACUGCAGGGGCCCCCGGCGUCCCCGGGUCUCCCCGUCAGACGUCUUCAGGCGUUCAGGUACCACCGGUGUAUCCGCGCACGGAGGUGCGUGUGCGUGCGCGUGUCCGUGUGCGCGCCUCGCGCUCGUCCAAUGGAAGGAACGGCUCGGCGAAUUUCUCUUCACGCGACAGACCUCAGUUGUGUAGUUGUCACGGUAACUAGAAUUCCGGAGCACCGACAAUGUGGGACGUGGAAUUCACACCCGACGGUCCUUCCGAAACUCUAGCGAUUCUGGAUCGUCGAAGCGCCCCGCAACCGUUCGGUAAAAUCCCGCGCGAGACCGCCUUAAAAAGGGACUCGAGGAGCCUUUGUGUCGGGGCUCUUUUCCAGCGAACCGACAGGCCGAAACCUGCAGGCUCCCCGUGAUCCGAAACCUGCAGCUGCAACUCGUGCCACCGAACGAACUCCGCUGCUCCGUCUCUCCCUCGUUCGGAGGGAGAGAGAAGGAAACGCCGCUGAUCGGAAAGAGGAAGAAAAUACAGACGGAGGGAAGAGGGAAGAGGCGCGACGCUC